rnacentral:rRNA from 1 species
UACGUAGGAGGCGAGCGUUGUCCGGAUUUACUGGGCGUAAAGAGCGCGCAGGCGGCACACCAAGUACGGAGUGAAAUCUCCCUGCUCAACGGGGAGGGUGCUCUGUAAACUGGUGAGCUAGAGUCCGGAAGAGGAGAGUGGAAUUCCUGGUGUAGCGGUGAAAUGCGCAGAUAUCAGGAGGAACACCAAUUGCGAAGGCAGCUCGCUGGGACGUUACUGACGCUGAGACGCGAAAGCGUGGGGAGCAAACAGG